rnacentral:rRNA from 1 species
CCCUUAGAUGUUCUGGGCGGCCCGCGCACUACAUUGGCACUGGCAACAAGAUCCUAGAUCUGAUAUUUCGGGGUAUUCUACCAACUGGUGUCGUGACUGGGAUUAACCCCUGCAAUUAUUGGUUAUGAACGAGGAAUUCCUUGUAAUCACGGUUUAUCAACCCGUGUUGAAUGCGUCCCUGCCCUUUGUACACACCGCCCGUCGCUCCUACCGAUGAAUCGUCCGGUGAAGUUCAUGGAGUCGCUGCUGCUCCAGCUGUUUUCGAAGUGAAAUGGACCUCNUNAUUUAUNGGAAGGAGAANUCGUANCA